rnacentral:rRNA from 1 species
CCUUUGCCGGCGACCGGCGCACGGGUGAGUAACACGUAUGCAACCUGCCCUCUUCAGGGGGACAACCUUCCGAAAGGGAGGCUAAUCCCGCGUAUAUCGGUUUCGGGCAUCCGAGAUCGAGGAAAAAUUCAUCGGAAGAGGAUGGGCAUGCGGCGCAUUAGCUAGACGGCGGGGUAACGGCCCACCGUGGCGACGAUGCGUAGGGGUUCUGAGAGGAAGGUCCCCCACACUGGUACUGAGACACGGACCAGACUCCUACGGGAGGCAGCAG